CCCCCCCUCCUCCAUCCUCGUCGCGUGCUCGUCGAUCGACAACAAUGGCGGACGCGCUCCGGAUUUGCCGAUCCACCGGAGCGCGCGAUCAACUCACCCUGGCGAGAAAUUUGCCGAUCGCAGGACGCCUCGGCUCGCAUCCGCGACUCCCCGCGGCCUCUGUCGCGUCCGUCGACCGCGUCUCUCGGUGCACCGUGCGUCCUUUUUCCCAAGUUUUCCCGCGGACAAAGGCCGCAUCGACCGACAUGUAAGAUUUUCACGUUCGGAGCCACUUUAAGGGGCCAAGCGGGGUCGUCGCCGAUAGGCUGCGUGUGACGUGGUUGCGUUUAUUGACCAUAACCCCUUCCUACCUAUCGUCUGCAAUUUUACGACAGACAGGUGUACGACCCGCGAAACUAUUGACCGGCGCGCCUCGCCUCGCCUCGCCUCGUCUCACCCGACUCGACUCGAUUCUCGAUUCCGUGUCCUUUGAGAGAGUCGCGCAUCUUGAAACGUACGCGCGAUACUUCAUCGUUCGCCGAGACAGAACAGGCAGUCUGCGAAGGAGACAUUCUUCAUUGUUUCUUCGAUCGGUGGAGACUGAAACGGACAGCCAUUUGCUCUCGAAGCGAUAGCGAUCGCAUGAUAAUUUGAGGGUUUCGCAAAACUCUCGUGAGUUGCGGAAUAAUUUUGAGAGUAAAAUUGCUCUCGUCUCGAAAUGCCGCGACAAUGAUUGAAAUAUAGAGAUGGAAAAUAUAGCGGUACAUUAUUAUUGUUGGCUCGACACGGCAUCGGAUUCUAUUAGACAUUUAUAUAAAUGAUACGACACGGAUGAGAGAGAUGGUACAUGUGUUUGCACGCUACUGAUGACGUUUAAAAAAAAAGUUACACAUCCAAGAUCAAUAAUAUAUAUUAUCAAGAGAAUGGAAAAUCUCUUAAAAGUUACUUAACAUGUAUAUAUUGCCAUACGAAUACUACUUUCUCUUAUUAUUAGUCAUUCUUCCUGUAUAUCUCUUUUUUAAACUUUGGUCGUGGCUUGGAUGGGAACUGUUUGUAAAUAAUUAAAAUUUUAACAUGCGAAGA